UCGUCGAUUUCUGUAGGGGUA
rnacentral:siRNA from 1 species